rnacentral:lncRNA from 1 species
GGAGCAAUACAUUGUGCUGUGAUUCCUUCGUUAAUAAGACAUCUCUGUUUUCAAGGACCUAUAUAUUAUAUAUUUUAUAAAAUUUAAUAAUGAAAAAGUUAUGAAAAAUGAACUAGGUAAUAAAAUUGGAUGACUCAUUCCAUAAAUCCAAAAGAACGUGAGAAUGAUGAUGUGAAGGGGGCCAGACAACUUGACUUUGGUGACAAACUCUUAUGACUCUAUAGACUACUAAUCUUAACCUUAGAAAUUUUGGAUUGAGAAUAACACCUCAUUCUUUUAGUGUGCAUCAAGGUUAUUUCCAACCCUAAAAAUAAUUAUGUCAUCAAAGUUGAUUAGUCUGUGUCUUAUUUAGAAAAAGUUCGAACACACACUAUUUUUCAUUCUUUUGGUUGCAUCGAGGUUAUUUCCA